AGAGUUUGAUCAUGGCUCAGAUUGAACGCUGGCGGCAGGCUUAACACAUGCAAGUCGAACGGUAACAGAACUAGCUUGCUAGUUGCUGACGAGUGGCGGACGGGUGAGUAACGCGUAGGAAUCUACCGAAUAGUGGGGGACAACAGUUGGAAACGGCUGCUAAUACCGCAUACGCCCUACGGGGGAAAGGAGGGGAUCUUCGGACCUUUCGCUAUUUGAUGAGCCUGCGUGAGAUUAGUUAGUUGGUGGGGUAGUGGCUCACCAAGGCGACGAUCUCUAGCUGGUCUGAGAGGAUGAUCAGCCACACUGGGACUGAGACACGGCCCAGACUCCUACGGGAGGCAGCAGUGGGGAAUAUUGCACAAUGAGGGAAACCCUGAUGCAGCCAUGCCGCGUGUGUGAAGAAGGCCUUCGGGUUGUAAAGCAC
rnacentral:rRNA from 1 species